AACGAACGCUGGCGGCAGGCUUAACACAUGCAAGUCGAACGCCCCGCAAGGGGAGUGGCAGACGGGUGAGUAACGCGUGGGAAUCUACCCAAUUCUACGGAAUAACCCAGGGAAACUUGGACUAAUACCGUAUACGCCCUACGGGGGAAAGAUUUAUCGGAAUUGGAUGAGCCCGCGUAAGAUUAGCUAGUUGGUGGGGUAAUGGCCUACCAAGGCGACGAUCUUUAGCUGGUCUGAGAGGAUGAUCAGCCACACUGGGACUGAGACACGGCCCAGACUCCUACGGGAGGCAGCAGUGGGGAAUAUUGGACAAUGGGCGCAAGCCUGAUCCAGCCAUGCCGCGUGAGUGAUGAAGGCCUUAGGGUUGUAAAGCUCUUUCAGUGGGGAAGAUAAUGACGGUACCCACAGAAGAAGCCCCGGCUAACUUCGUGCCAGCCGCCGCCGUAA
rnacentral:rRNA from 1 species